UACGGAGGGUGCAAGCGUUAAUCGGAAUCACUGGGCGUAAAGCGCGCGUAGGCGGUUUGUUAAGUGGGAUGUGAAAUCCCCGGGCUUAACCUGGGAAUUGCAUUUCAAACUGGCCGGCUAGAGUACGGUAGAGGGAGGUAGAAUUUCCUGUGUAGCGGUGAAAUGCGUAGAUAUAGGAAGGAAUACCAGUGGCGAAGGCGGCCUCCUGGAUCGAUACUGACGCUGAGGCGCGAAAGCGUGGGGAGCAAACGGG
rnacentral:rRNA from 1 species